rnacentral:rRNA from 1 species
GCAUAACGCGCACGGAGCUGCAUGGCUCAGUGUGAAAAACUCGGUGGUAUAAGAUGGAUUCGCGUCUGAUUAGAUAGUUGGUGAGGUAACGGCUCACCAAGUCAACGAUCAGUAGCCGGCCUGAGAGGGUGAUCGGCCACAUUGGGACUGAGACACGGCCCAAACUCCUACGGGAGGCAGCAGUGGGGAAUAUUGCACAAUGGGGGAAACCCUGAUGCAGCAACGCCGCGUGAAGGAUGACGUAUUUCGGUAUGUAAACUUCUAUCAGCAAGGAAGAUGAUGACGGUACUUGACUAAGAAGCCCGGCUAACUACGUG